GAUGAACGCUAGCUACAGGCUUAACACAUGCAAGUCGAGGGACCGGCGCACGGGUGAGUAACACGUAUCCAACCUGCCCUUUACUCAGGGAUAGCCUUUCGACAUACAGAUUAAUACCCGAUCUUAAGGAUGGGGAUGCGUUCCAUUAGGUUGUUGUUGAGGUAACGGCUAACCAAGCCUUCGAUGGAUAGGGGUUCUGAGAGGAAGGUCACCCACAUUGGAACUGAGACCCGGUCCAAAAUACGAGGGGAGGCAGCAGUGAGGAAGAUUGGGCAAUGGGCGCUAGCCUGAACCAGCCAAGUAGCGUGAAGGAUGAAGGGUUAUGGGUCGUAAACUUCUUUUAUAUAAGAAGAUGUAUUAUAUGAAUAAGGAUCGGCUAACUCCGUGCCAGCAGCCGCGGUAAUAC
rnacentral:rRNA from 1 species